UGGGGAAUUUUGGACAAUGGGCGCAAGCCUGAUCCAGCCAUGCCGCGUGCAGGAUGAAGGCCUUCGGGUUGUAAACUGCUUUUGUACGGAACGCAAAGACUCCUUCUAAUCAAGGGGGUCCAUGACGGUACCGUAAGAAUAAGCACCGGCUAACUACGUGCCAGCAGCCGCGGUAAUACGUAGGGUGCGAGCGUUAAUCGGAAUUACUGGGCGUAAAGCGUGCACAGGCGGUUAUAUAAGACAGGUGUGAAAUCCCCGGGCUCAACCUGGGACCUGCAUUUGUGACUGUAUAGCUAGAGUACGGUAGAGGGGGAUGGAAUUCCGCGUGUAGCAGUGAAAUGCGUAGAUAUGCGGAGGAACACCGAUGGCGAAGGCAAUCCCCUGGACCUGUACUGACGCUCAUGCACGAAAGCGUGGGGAGCAAACA
rnacentral:rRNA from 1 species